rnacentral:rRNA from 1 species
UUAAAUUGAAGAGUUUGAUCAUGGCUCAGAUUGAACGCUGGCGGCAGGCCUAACACAUGCAAGUCGAACGGUAACAGGAAGCAGCUUGCUGUUUUGCUGACGAGUGGCGGACGGGUGAGUAAUGUCUGGGAAACUGCCUGAUGGAGGGGGAUAACUACUGGAAACGGUGGCUAAUACCGCAUAACGUCGCAAGACCAAAGAGGGGGACCUUCGGGCCUCUUGCCAUCAGAUGUGCCCAGAUGGGAUUAGCUUGUUGGUGAGGUAACGGCUCACCAAGGCGACGAUCCCUAGCUGGUCUGAGAGGAUGACCAGCCACACUGGAACUGAGACACGGUCCAGACUCCUACGGGAGGCAGCAGUGGGGAAUAUUGCACAAUGGGCGCAAGCCUGAUGCAGCCAUGCCGCGUGUAUGAAGAAGGCCUUCGGGUUGUAAAGUACUUUCAGCGGGGAGGAAGGUGUUGUGGUUAAUAACCACAGCAAUUGACGUUACCCGCAGAAGAAGCACCGGCUAACUCCGUGCCAGCAGCCGCGGUAAUACGGAGGGUGCAAGCGUUAAUCGGAAUUACUGGGCGUAAAGCGCACGCAGGCGGUCUGUCAAGUCGGAUGUGAAAUCCCCGGGCUCAACCUGGGAACUGCAUUCGAAACUGGCAGGCUUGAGUCUUGUAGAGGGGGGUAGAAUUCCAGGUGUAGCGGUGAAAUGCGUAGAGAUCUGGAGGAAUACCGGUGGCGAAGGCGGCCCCCUGGACAAAGACUGACGCUCAGGUGCGAAAGCGUGGGGAGCAAACAGGAUUAGAUACCCUGGUAGUCCACGCCGUAAACGAUGUCUACUUGGAGGUUGUGCCCUUGAGGCGUGGCUUCCGGAGCUAACGCGUUAAGUAGACCGCCUGGGGAGUACGGCCGCAAGGUUAAAACUCAAAUGAAUUGACGGGGGCCCGCACAAGCGGUGGAGCAUGU